rnacentral:rRNA from 1 species
GAUCCUGGCUCAGGAUGAACGCUGGCGGCGUGCUUAACACAUGCAAGUCGAGCGAAGCACUUUGGAAAGAUUCUUCGGAUGAUUUCCUUUGUGACUGAGCGGGCGACGGGUGAAGGUAACGCGUGGGUAACCUNCCUCAUACAGGGGGAUAACAGUUAGAAAUGACUGCUAAUACCGCAUAAGACCACGGUACCGCAUGGUACAGUGGUAAAAACUCCGUGGUAUGAGAUGACCCGCGU